CAGGGAUGUGGGAAAGGGUUAGGAAGGGAAGAAAUUGAAUUUUAAAAUGUCAAAAAGUAUUUUUACAUGUAGCUGAAAAAAUAAAAAGAAAAGAAAAAAUACAAACAUUAAAUUAAUUUUUAAUACCCAUAGAUAUAUGUUGCUUUGCUGCCUCUCCUAAAUCCUUUUUUAAAUUUUUAGUUCUUGUCCUUCUUUUCCAUUUAUUUUUUUCAGUUACAUAUAGAAAAAAAAUGUUUAUAAUUACUAUCUGACCUUUUGCAAUCCAAAUUCUCUCCCUCCCUCACCAGGUGGCAACUUCAAGAAGAACCAAAUUCUACAUGAGAUCAGGAAGAAAUGUGAUGACAGAAACUGCUAUACUGAGGAGAAAUAAAGGAGGUCAAAAUUCUGAGGAUCUUUAUCCCAUCUUUCACUCUCAUAGAUCAGUGACAACAGUGUACAAGAAUUGCCAUGAUGUAAAAGAGGAUUAGCAGUGAGUGGUCCAGGCAAUAUAACACUAUGACUUCAGAGAAGGAAGAGAUAGAUCUCUGCUGGGGAGAACCAUAAAAGGAAAGUAUGUAAGUAAGCCCUACCCUUCUUUUAUAGGUGCCUAUAAUUAAGGACAAAUAAUGGGACAGGGGAUUAAGGAAAAUAUAUGCUGGGUAGAAAGAAGGGUACACCCCAAGCUGUGAUACCACAGGCUUACCUGAAUGCUGCUCUGGGAUCCAGCCAAGGUUCACUGGGUGAAAAGGAAUCCAAAAGACUCAGCAGGAAUUAUGAAAUGGGAGUCAGGUAAGUUUGUCUGACACAAAAACUCUGAUACAAAUAUCACGCUGACCCAUCUUCCUACCUACUUCUGACUUUAGAUUGCUGCUCCCACUUGCACUGGAUGACUUUGGUGAAGCCCUCUUGGUUCUACCUACAGAUAGGUAGGUGAUGGACUCAGAAAAC
rnacentral:lncRNA from 1 species